UUAUCACUGUAAAAAACUAACUCCAAAUGCAUUUGUAGGUAGCUAGCUAACAGCCAUGGAGGGUGAAAGGAUAGCAGCCCCAACUGUCAGUGAGAGAGGAGGCUAUUCUGGAUAGGGCAGGUACUUUUGUGUAGUUCCUGUCCCUAGAAGUGAGGACGGAGAUAAUAGUAACAUAAUAUUCAGUGUGGUGUAAUUUGACUAUAAUGAAGUGUGUUUCUUGUGAGGUUUUCUGUCCUCAGAUAAAGAGCGCUAUGAAAGCCAGUCUACAUAUGAAGAGGUCCCAAUGAAGAGCAGUGGUUCUCAGUCCUGGGGACUCAAAGAGGCACAUUGUUGUUUUUGCCUCAGCACUGCACAGCUGAUUCAAAUGAUCAACUCAUCAUCAAGCUUCAAGAGAUACCUUGUAACUGGAGAUUCCUUCAAAACGAUUGCCUACAGUUACCGUGUAGGGCACUGCAAGGUUGGGUGACCAGGGUCAUCUGGGACUGCCUCCUGGAGGAAUUCAGAUGUGUGAAGGCUACCUGUGUCCUGCGUAACUUCUUGAGGAUGGACACGAGGACCAGGAGGGGAUCUGCAGCUGGCCGCCGUGUCCCAGAGGAGGAGUCUGCUGCUCUGCAGGAUGUUUCAAGGAUGGGGUCCAACAACGCAGCAAGAGAGGCAAUCCGUGUGCAGGAGAUAUUCACCUCCUACUUCUUCAAAGAAGGUGCUGUUCCCUGGCAACACCAUAGACUACACUAUGCACAACCAAAGGCUCGUUUAAGAGGGUGCUGUUCCCUGGCAACACCAUAGAAUACACUAUGCACAACCAAAGACUCUUCAGAGAGGGUGCUGUUCCCUAGCAACACCAUAGACUACACUAUGCACAACCAAAGGCUUUACCAUUCACAUUGCAAUAAGAGUAUUCUUCCAUUUACUUAGCUAUGUCAACUGCAGUUAUUCAAUUCACAGUUUCUCACCCUUUGAUUUCUACUUCUCAGGUGAGGGUGCUGUUUAGGUAAGGGUUUGAUGUCUGUGCAAAAACAAAACAGGCUAUUUUAAAUCAGCCAUUUUGAGAAAAUGUAGAACAAUUAGACACCCUAUAACCCACACCUACACACUCAUGUAUCAAUCUGAUUGAUGGAUUGUGUUGUGCAGUAAGCAGGCUCAGGUGUAUAACUGUGGCUCCUUCCACCUUCAAAGAAUAGGCAAGAGGGCCAACCAUGGAGAAUAAUAAGACACUUCAUUAUUUCUAUAAUUAUGCUUUAAUUGUUUGUCCUUGUGGGUCCUUUCAUGUUUUUCAGCAUAAAGUACUCUGCAGCCACUUAGUGUGGUGUGGACACCAGGUGAGGCCACACACAGAUUCCUGUUGAACACUGUGGCUUUAACUACCUUAUUUUCUCAAUAACAGUCUCUAUCCUUCACUUCAUCCCUCUCUCCCCUUCUCCCUAAAUCCUCUAGGUUAUAUCAGCUGUGUCGGUGAACCCCUCCUGCAUCUGAACUGGCUACAUAGAGGGCACAGCAUGAUCAGAGAUAUGUUUUGAUGUGAGAGGAUGCCAACCCCUAGUCCCAUCAUCGCCACCUCACCUGCUUUUAAGAUAACCUGUGGGCCGACUAGAGACACUGCUAUGUAAUUGUGAUGAACUGAGAGAAUAUUUAUGUAGCACUGUGAUUCAUUAAUCAUGUGCUGCCUUCCCUGCUCCUAUGUGCUUACCUCUUUCCCUUUCUGUCUUUUACACCUCUCUCUCAUCUCCUCUUUCUUCCUCUGUUUUUAUAAUGCACAACAGAUGUGCAUUGAAGUACAGAUUGAACUUGUAUUUAUAACACUUGGAUAAUGAGCUUUUCAAUAAAGCGUUUCACAUUC